AGUGAACGCUGGCGGUAGGCCUAACACAUGCAAGUCGAACGGCAGCACAGUAAGAGCUUGCUCUUACGGGUGGCGAGUGGCGGACGGGUGAGGCAUACAUCGGAAUCUACUUUUUCGGGGGGGAUAACGUAGGGAAACUUACGCUAAUACCGCAUACGACCUACGGGUGAAAGCAGGGGAUCUUCGGACCUUGCGUGAUUGAAUGAGCCGACGUCGGAUUAGCUAGUUGGCGGGGUAAAGGCACACCAAGGCGACGAUCCGUAGCUGGUCUGAGAGGAUGACCUGCCUCACCGGAACUGAUACUCGGCCCAGACGCCUACGGGACGCAGCCGUGGCGACUAUUGGACACUGCGCUGAAGCCUGUUGGAGCAACGCCGCGUGCGUGAUGCAGGCCUUCGGAUCGUAAUGCCCUGUUUUUGGUGAAGAACAGCUGUCGCAUUAACCGCAGCGGUAGUGACGGUACUUGAUCAAAAAGCACCGGCUAACUACGUG
rnacentral:rRNA from 1 species